AUUGAACGCUGGCGGCAGGCCUAACACAUGCAAGUCGAACGAGUGGCGGACGGGGGAGUAAUGUCUGGGAAACUGCCCGAUGGAGGGGGAUAACUACUGGAGACGGUAGCUAAUACCGCAUACCAUCUGAUGUGCCCACAUGUGAUUAGCUUGUAGGUGAGGUAACGGCUCACCUAGGCGACGAUCCCUAGCUGGUCUGAGAGGAUGACCAGCCAAACUGGGACUGAGACACGGUCCAGACUCCUACGGGAGGCAGCAGUGGGGAAUAUUGCACAAUGGGCGCAAGCCUGAUGCAGCCAGGCCGCGUGUAUGAAGAAGGCCUUCGGGUUGUAAAGUACUUUCAGCGGGGAGGCGUUACCGGCAGAAGAAGCACCGGCUAACUCCGUGCCAGCAGCCGCGGUAAUAC
rnacentral:rRNA from 1 species